GGUGUCUGCAAACACCCUUUUCACUCUGUGAUGUGUGCAGUUGUGUAAUUUCAGUCCUGCCAGUGGGCUCAAGUUAGGGAGGUGAUAGCUACCCAGAGAAACCAGAGGAGAGGGAGGAUGUUGCAGUAAAAAGCCAAACAGAAAGAGGAGAGAAUGACAUAAGACUCUUCCAUUUAGAAGCAGAGUGGUCUCUUGGCUGCAAUCUGUGAAGCUGGAAACUUUUUCAUCUGCCCAAUAUAGAAAUGGACCAUGACUGAUAAGUGUUUGCAGUACUACUCCUGUCAGUCUUCACAGAAUUGAGACUAUUAGAAUGUAGAUGAAAAUCCUCUCCCUUUGUUUUUUUUCAAAAACAUCCAAAUAAAAAAGUUGCUUUGUAGGAUUGCCUUUGAUAU
rnacentral:lncRNA from 1 species